UAGGGCUCCAGUCUUUGGGUUCACAGCUUGGCUCUACAUUCAUUGCUGGAGGAAUCCAAGCCUCACAAAAGACCGCUUUUAAAGAAAAACUCUAUUUUUCUUAGAAGAACUAGAAUAUGUAACACCAUUGUGAGAAAUAAAACCCCAAGGUGAACAAGAUUGAAAGUGAAGGCAGCGCUCUAAGGAGGAAGCCAGCUGGCUUGAAUGGUGAUGUAAACAGCCUUGGAGCUUUAACCAAACUUGAGUAAGAACUCCCUGACUUGGAAACACUCAAGUUUCCCACACAUGACUGGAUGGCCCUGGCCACACUGGGAACGGAAUGGGGGCCUCCCAUUGGAACUCAGGGUGGAGGGGGAAGCUCGACCAGCUAUUGUGGCCCCCACUUCCAUUGACAAACCCUGAGAUGCCAUGUAUGCAGCUCG
rnacentral:lncRNA from 10 species